GGAAUAUGGCUCAGUGGUAGAGUGCUUGCCUAACAUGCAUGAAGCCCUGGGUUUGAUUCCUCAGUACCA
rnacentral:tRNA from 1 species